rnacentral:rRNA from 1 species
UACGGUGGGGGCAAGCGCUGUUCGGAAUUACUGGGCGUAAAGGGUUCGUAGGUGGCCAACUAAGCCAGACGUGAAAUCCCUCAGCUUAACUGGGGAACUGCGUCUGGGACUGGAUGGCUUGAGUGCAGGAGAGGAACGCGGAAUUCCAGGUGUAGCGGUGAAAUGCGUAGAUAUCUGGAGGAACACCGGUGGCGAAGGCGGCGUUCUGGACUGCAACUGACACUGAGGAACGAAAGCCAGGGGAGCAAACGGG